rnacentral:rRNA from 1 species
AGAGUGAACGCUGGCGGUAGGCCUAACGCAUGCAAGUCGAACGGCAGCACAGUGGUAGCAAUACCAUGGGUGGCGAGUGGCGGACGGGUGAGGAAUACAUCGGAAUCUACCUUUUCGUGGGGGAUAACGUAGGGAAACUUACGCUAAUACCGCAUACGCCCUUUGGGGGAAAGCCGGGGAUCGCAAGACCUGGCGCGGAUAGAUGAGCCGAUGUCGGAUUAGCUAGUUGGUGAGGUAAUGGCUCACCAAGGCGACGAUCCGUAGCUGGUCUGAGAGGAUGAUCAGCCACACUGGAACUGAGACACGGUCCAGUACCGUACCGUACGGGACGGACGACGACG